UCCCAUGUGGUCUUGUGGUUAGGAUAUGGCGCUCUCACCGCCAUGGCCCGCGUUCAAUUCCCGGCAUGGGAA
rnacentral:tRNA from 1 species